AUGAAGCAUAAGAAAACCUGGGGCGGUGAACUUGUAGGUGGAGGCGUCGUGGUUGUGGGUAAGAGUCGUGAUCUGGUGCGUGAGUGGAGGUCCGGCGAGUGGAGUUUACGCGUACGUUUUGAGGUGGAGGGAAGUAUGUCAUCAGAAUCGCGAUCUGGAGAGUCGUCUUCCGUGAAGCUGUUCGUGGAUUUUGUGAGCCGGAGGGUGGAAUCGCAGCCGGUGCUGGUGCAGCCUCAUCGCAGCUGUGUCAGUUCUGGCCAUCUCGGUUAUGAUAAGAGAGCAGCGAUUUAUGUUGAGUCGCGGCUGCCAGCAUGUUCGAGGAGGAAGUAG